GCAUAAGACGCGAGUUGGCACAGUGGCUGGUAACAGCCACUGGGUAGAAAGCGGCGCACACCUCUCGACACCCCUGAGCCGCUCACACCGGUGUUGCUCCUGGUUGUCUUUACGACGGCAGUUUCAGGGGCCCAUCUAGUCAGCGGCGAGUCACCGCCUGCCUCGAUAACGUGUACAGACAUUGUUAUGGCAGGUGUCCGGACCUCUCAGCAAUAGCCCAAUCUUUUGACCAGCCAAACUUCAAUCCAUAAACCGGUAUACUGUUCACUUUUUCUACAAUAGUCCCAAUGCCUGCUGCGACCGGUUCAUGGGUGUCUAUUGUUGCACCUGUGAACGGCUCUCCAAGGGGCCUCUACGUGUUGGAUCUAUAUCCCCACGCAAGCCUAUCAAAAGACCGGGAUUUAUAGGCCCGUGAAAUCCAGAAGGAGAUACAAAUAAUAAUAAUAAU